rnacentral:rRNA from 1 species
AGCGAACGCUGGCGGCAGGCUUAACACAUGCAAGUCGAGCGCCCCGCAAGGGGAGCGGCAGACGGGUGAGUAACGCGUGGGAACGUACCUUUUGGUUCGGAACAACACAGGGAAACUUGUGCUAAUACCGGAUAAGCCCUUACGGGGAAAGAUUUAUCGCCGAAAGAUCGGCCCGCGUCUGAUUAGCUUGUUGGUGAGGUAACGGCUCACCAAGGCGACGAUCAGUAGCUGGUCUGAGAGGAUGAUCAGCCACAUUGGGACUGAGACACGGCCCAAACUCCUACGGGAGGCAGCAGUGGGGAAUAUUGGACAAUGGGCGCAAGCCUGAUCCAGCCAUGCCGCGUGAGUGAUGAAGGCCCUAGGGUUGUAAAGCUCUUUUAACGGGGAAGAUAAUGACGGUACCCGUAGAAUAAGCCCCGGCUAACUUCGUGCCAGCAGCCGCGGUAAUACGAAGGGGGCUAGCGUUGCUCGGAAUCACUGGGCGUAAAGGGUGCGUAGGUGGAUCUUUAAGUCAGGGGUGAAAUCCUGGAGCUCAACUCCAGAACUGCCUUUGAUACUGAGGAUCUUGAGUUCGGGAGAGGUAAGUGGAACUGCGAGUGUAGAGGUGAAAUUCGUAGAUAUUCGCAAGAACACCAGUGGCGAAGGCGGCUUACUGGCCCGAUACUGACACUGAGGCACGAAAGCGUGGGGAGCAAACA